rnacentral:tRNA from 1 species
UCCUCCUUAGCUCAGUUGGUUAGAGCACCUGACUGUUAAUCAGGGUGUCCUUGGUUCGAGUCCAAGAGGAGGAGCAA